GUCUAAGCUUUUUUUAGAA
rnacentral:tRNA from 1 species